UACGUAGGGUGCAGGCGUUAAUCGGAAUUACUGGGCGUAAAGAGCGCGCAGGCGGUCGUUCAAGUCGAGUGUGAAAGCCCCCGGCUCAACUGGGGAGGGUCACUCGAUACUGAUCGACUCGAAGGCAGGAGAGGGUAGUGGAAUUCCCGGUGUAGUGGUGAAAUGCGUAGAUAUCGGGAGGAACACCAGUGGCGAAGGCGACUACCUGGCCUGUUCUUGACGCUGAGGCGCGAAAGCUAGGGGAGUAAACGGG
rnacentral:rRNA from 1 species